rnacentral:rRNA from 1 species
UACGUAGGGGGCAAGCGUUGUCCGGAUUUAUUGGGCGUAAAGAGCGUGUAGGCGGCCAGGUAGGUCAGCUGUGAAAACUUGAGGCUCAACCUCAAGCUGUCGGUGGAAACCCCUUGGCUAGAGUCCGGAAGAGGAGAGUGGAAUUCCUGGUGUAGCGGUGAAAUGCGCAGAUAUCAGGAAGAACACCAAUGGCGAAGGCAGCUCUCUGGGACGGUACUGACACUGAGACGCGAAAGCGUGGGGAGCGAACAGG